rnacentral:rRNA from 1 species
AUGGGGGAAGUACUGCAAGUACUUUUUCUAGCAGGGCUUUUUCUAGCAGGGCUGGCAAAUGCUGUGGCACAAGUCGAUCCCGAAGACAUUAAGAUGACCAUAAAGAGCAGAAAUGGUGAAGUAGUUGACUGCGUUGACAUAUACAAGCAACCGAGCCUCAACAACCCUUUGCUGAAGGACUUGAAGCACCAGGCGUCUUUUCAGUUCCUGAAAGCUGUGCUCACAUUGUGA